CGACGUCACGAAAAAGGGGCGUUUCCCUCCCGCGGGGCGGGGCUCUUCAGGAGGCCCAGGGUAGAAAUGAAAGAAUCUUGAGAGUAAUUAUAGGAAGAAUCCCAAGAAAAGACACACUGGGAAAUAGAGAAGUUCUAACACUAGUAAAGGCAGAAAUUGCACACAGAAAAACCUGGUCUCAAGUAGGACUUCUCUUCAAUCAUUCUUUUUCACUUAACGUCCAUUUCUGCCUCAGCACCACUGCCCAUCUUUUACCAUUCAUCAGAUUUCCUGAGAAAAUCCACCUAAAAUAUAUACUGAGUAUAUUCUUGAAGAAGCUAGAGCCAUCUUAUUAAGUUGUUAACCAACUGAUAUCUCAUUGCUGCUGAAAAAUAUCUCACUGGGGAGACACCUUUGUGGCAUAUCAGCUAAAGCCAACACAUAUGGUGAUGCCAGUGUUCCAUGUAUGUGCCGGUUCAAGUCCCAGUUACUUCAUUUUCCAUCCAAGUUCCUGCCAACGUGCCUGGGACAGCAGCAGAAGAUGUCCCAAGUGCUUGGGGCCUUGGCACCAUGGGAGAGACCAAGAAGAAACUUAUGGCUUCAGUCUUGUCAAGGUUUAGAAGUUACUGCUGUUUGAUGAGUGAACUAGUAGAUGGAGAAUCUCUCCUCUCCUCUUCUCUUUCUUUGUACAGGUAUCUGUCCCUUUCAAAUAAA